CCCUUAGAUGUCCUGGGCCGCACGCGCGCUACGCUGAUGCAUUCAACGAGUAUUUCCUUGGCCGAGAGGCCUGGGCAAUCUUUUAAACCUGCAUCGUGAUAGGGAUAGAUUAUUGCAAUUAUUAAUCUUGAACGAGGAAUUCCUAGUAAACGCAAAUCAUCAAUUUGCAUUGAUUACGUCCCUGCCCUUUGUACACACCGCCCGUCGCACCUACCGAUUGAAUGGUCCGGUGAAAUCUCGGGAUUGUGGCCAGUUCACUUUAUUGGGAGUUGGCUGCGAGAACUUGCUUAAACCUUAUCAUUUAGAGGAAGGUGAAGUCGUAACA
rnacentral:rRNA from 1 species